ACCUCGAUCGCUUCGUAUAAUGAUUUAUCUGUUCCUAGAAUUUGAAUGAGGAGAAGGUUGGAUAUGCAAUCACGAAUCAGUUGAACUUCACACAAACUGAAUGCUUAAUCUUUUUUCCCGUAAAAUUCCACACAGGUUGUGGAGGAUCGGUCACAACAUAAGAACUGAGCGUCUGCUUUAUCUCGACUUCGAACCCUGAUUGCUCUUAAAGUUAGGAGGCCGAUAAACCUGGAAGACUACACUCCACCUGUUGAGCUUCUUCAGAUAUUACCCCUGAAGUCCAGCGUUAGAGGAAAAGAUGUUGGCCCCCAAAUCGGUCCAAAUAACUCAAAAUUUUCUACAGUAUGUUCCUAUUGUUAUAAUUCAAUGGCUAAUGCAUUAUGCAUGUGUUUUGCUGUCAUUGGUCCUUGCGAUUUGCAUAUUUAAACACCUCCCUUUGUACUUCGUUUUCCACUGGGCAGGGAAUGCAAGCAUUAUUAGACCUGCUGUUUGCUGUUGAAGGUUCUGUAUUAGAUGCAGCAAAGAUUUUAGGCCUAAGCACUGGUGCUUUGUCAAGAUUGAUUCUGUCAGAUGAUUCUCUCCGAACGGCCGCGAAUGAACUGCGAGCUUCGAAGGUAACCCUGCAAAUAUGUGAGCUGGCCACAAAUGCCUAUUCAUUGAUUAGAGGAUACCGCAUUCCAAACUUUAGGC